rnacentral:tRNA from 2 species
UCCCUCGUAGCUCAGUUGGCAGAGCAUUCGAUUGUUAAUCGACAGGUCACUGGUUCGAGUCCAGUCGGGGGAGC